UUUCCUAAUUUCAUUAUCCCGCUGUAACCUCUCACAAUACCUACUCUCACAAAGUUUUCUCUUUAAUUUCAUUCACUUUCCCCUCCGCUCUUACAAUUCCUCUCUAGUGCGACUCAUCUUCUUCAAAUCGGUUGAUUUUCGGUGUUCCUGCAUAUGUUUUCACCUUCAUUGCGGUUACUCCUAUUUCAAUUUGCUAGGUACGUAUGUAAUUAAUAUGAUAUUUUGUUUCAAUUUUCGCUAUUUUGAUUGCUACAUUUAGGGAUCAAAAUUUGUUCAACUUGUUCAACGAAUUUCAAUUGUUGAAGUUAGGGUUUCAAAUAUUCUUUGUUUCAUUGUUUUUAAUUGCGAUUUUGAUUACUAAAAUGAUCCCUUUUCCUUGUUUCAUUGGGAUGGCAUAGGGACAAAGCUGAUAUUCCUCGAUUCCAAUCAGAUUCACUUCUCUUCUCUUUACAUCUUUUAGCCUCUGAAUUAGAAACUUGACAAGGAAUGAUUUUACACAAGUUCAAUGCCUUUUCAGUUUCAGGUCAAUUAUUUUUGGUUAAUUUAUUUAAUGGUAUAACUUGAUUUGAACAAUUACCUUAUCAUUUUCCUCAAGUUCUUAGUUUGAUGGCAUGUAGUUGUCGAUUCAAGUGUUGAUUGUAUUUACUUCAUUUUGUCAUUUUAAUUGACGUUCCUGCUUCUUUUAAGUUUUUGGGCUUAUUUGAUUGUAGAUUUUAGUGUUGUUUGUCUUCGAGUAAAUUUGAGUUCUUAUUUAAUGGUAUAACUUGAUUUGAACAAUUACCUGAUCAUUAUCCUCAAAUUCUUAGUUUGAUGGCAUGUAGUUGUCGAUUCGAGUUUCAUGGAUUUUCUUGAGUGUUCUAGUUCAUUCUUAGUGAGCACUGAGCAGCGAAGAGGCAUGCUUUGCUUGUUGCUUCAGAAAUUGGUCAUGGCAGGUACACAUGAAAAAUAAGUAAUUUCAUCCAAAAUAUAAGAUAAUUCAAUAUCACCAACUAUAACUCUUACCAAUUUAUGACUUGUAUAUAACUAUUGUCGUUUACAAAGAAAAAUUAAAUCCAAAAUGUUUGGCAUUAUAUUGUCUUCCAUGUUGUUAUAUGUUUUGUGAUAGCUUGAGGGAACCUGUUUGAAAGUGUGCUAAAACUAAAGAAACAUCAAAGACUCAGAGUAGUGUUAAAAUGAAAAUUGCCACUUCACUCAAAGUGUAGUGGAGCUGUGGAGGACUACAGUUGUUAUUCAGAAGGUUAAUCCAUAGGCCGCUGCCCUCAAAGGUGAGGUGAGUGGAUUUCUAUUUCAAAUAACUAUACUUAAGUUGUUAUUCGACGAGCAGGUGAGUGGAUUUCCAAUUCCUGAAGUUUGAUUUUUGUUUUAGAUUGAGAAAUAUCUAUUAUGGCUCCUUGAGCAAAUUAAGUUGUUGAGUUUUUUCUGAAGUUGAACAGUUUCAUUCUUCAAUUGUUUCUAGUUUUUCUAAUUUUGAAGGUUUAGUUAGAAUCUGAAGCAAUUUAUUGAUCUGGCGGACUUGAAUUUCAAACUUUAUAGGAUUUUGCUUGAUUUUAGAUCUAAAAUGCUGUCAGGAAUACGGAAAAGUUCACCAAUUUUGAAGGUUCUACUAGUAUCUAUUGCAAUUAACAGAUCUAGUCGACUUGAAUUUCAAUUAUUUAGGGUUUUGCUUAUUAUUCAUGAAUUACAAGUGUGUCGGAAACGGCGAUUAAAUCUGUUAAAAGUUCACUACAGUUAAAGGUUCAACCAAGAUUUGAAGUUCUUUACUGAUUUAAACUAUAGAUUUUUGCUUAUGAUUUCUUCAUGAAAUUCAGUGUUCCGGAUAGACGGUAAUUAAAUCUAGCAGAAGUUCACUGUUUUUGAAGGCUCAACUUGAAUCUGAAACUCUGAAGUAACUGACUUAUCUGGUCGACUUUUUCAAACUUCUGAAGGUUUUUCUUAUGAUUUCUUCAUGAAUUUCACGGUGUUGGAAAGAUGACAACUAAAUCUAACACAAAGUUUCACAUCUUGAGAGCGACAAAAAUUCGAUCGAACUUAAAUUGAUUUUGGAACCAAACUUGUAAAAGGAGAUUUUUCUCACUUGAAACGCACCAAAUCUUGAUUAAGGGAAAACGAAGCAGGGAAGAACGUACUCUUUCUUGAAACAGCCGGAAAAUCUACCAUUCGUAUGGUGUUCUGAAAGUUUCCCACUUUCCAUUUUCACAGCAAGCGAGGGAGCAACGACUUUUCAAUACAUAGAAUACCAGUAUGUUGAGGUGUUCAUGGUUGAAUUUGCUGUCCUCAUUUUCCUCUUUUUGGGAUCAGUGGAAGGCUUUAGAGUAAGCAACUCUCUGAUUUCUCCACUCUUUGUCAAUCGACAUCUCGAUGUGAUACAGCCUUUUCUAUUUUAGUUGGGGGAUCCCGCUCCUAAACAUAAGGGGAAGGGGGCCGAAUAAACCCAUUUCUGUGAACCCAAAUAAAUCUGGACUUGAUUGCGCUUGGAUUCUCGAACUCUAAGAGCACCCUAUCAACUUACACCUAAUAUUGACACGACAGAAGAAAGGGGAACGUAGCAGAUCGACCGGAUCGAUCAGAGUAGCCGAUGCGUCUUGGGUAAUAGGGACACAGUAAUAGUAUUUUUUGGUUGUAUCCUUUUGCCACCAACCGGUUGGGUUGGUCCGACCAAGAAAGGCAUGGGAGUCUUUGGGUCUUUUUACUUUCGUUUGGGCCAUGGCGAGGGAAAAUAAAGUACCCCCCAUCAUGGUGAACCUCUCCUUGUGAUCGUGAUGGCUUCUACUUUAAUGCAGAACUCCCAAUAGCAGGAAUUACACUAACAAAAUCCAAGCAUGCACGUACAACCCUUUCAAGAAGUGCAAGCCUGCAUUGUCUACCGCUCUCUUUACCAUUGUGCCUUUCGUGCUCAGUGAUGUUCCCUCUGUCAUCUCUGGUUUUCUAGGAAUGAAGAUUGCUAUUGCCAACGCAAGGACAACCUUGUAACCUUCUGUCAUCAUAGUUUGUUUGAUCACAACUCUCUUUUCUAUCGAUUUCUUUGAAAUUAAAGCUGUCAACAAAAUUGAGCCAGCACCGAAGAAGCAGCUUAUUGUUUUAAUUGUUCUAAUGCAUGUCGGUGUUGAAAUUGUCACUUGCUGUCCAAUCCACUUUCACCAUUUUCAACUUUGGCACUCAAAAGAUUGUCCACAGUUUGUAAGAUUGCCAUUCCUUCUUCAUUUCAAGGAAAGGUGAUAUUAUUAUUUUGGUUCCAUUGGUUAUGAACCUAUUAUAUUUGCCCA